rnacentral:tRNA from 1 species
AAGUUUAGGUUAACCCAAUCAAACCAAGAGCCUUCAAAGCCCAAAAUAGGGUUAAAACCCCUAACUUCUG